rnacentral:rRNA from 1 species
GUGAGGAAUUUUCCGCAAUGGGCGAAAGCCUGAUCCAGCAAUGCCGCGUGAAGGAUGAAGGCCUAUGGGUUGUAAACUUCUUUUCUUAGAGAAGAAUAUUGACGGUAUCUGAGGAAUAAGCAUCGGCUAACUCUGUGCCAGCAGCCGCGGUAAGACAGAGGAUGCAAGCGUUAUCCGGAAUGAUUGGGCGUAAAGCGUCUGUAGGUGGCUUCAAAAGUCUCCUGUCAAAGAUAAGGGCUUAACCCUGGGACGGCAGGAGAAACUCUGAGGCUAGAGUUUGGUAGGGGCAGAGGUAAUUCCCGGUGGAGCAGUGAAAUGCGUAGAGAUCGGGAGGAACACCAAAGGCGAAAGCACUCUGCUGGGCCACAACUGACACUGAGAGACGAAAGCGAGGGGAGCAAAAGGGAUUAGAAACCCUUGUAGUCC